rnacentral:lncRNA from 1 species
GAUCCUCACGGAUCCUGGUGGGAAUGAUGGAGAGGACAGGAUCCAUGGGUCCAUGGGUGCCGCGUCCCGCCGUUGCCGGUGUGACGCUGCCGUUCCCGGUGUGACGCCGCCGUUCCCGGUGUGAUGCCGCCGUUCCCGGUGUGACGCCGCCGUUCCCGGCGUGAUGCUGCUGUUCCCGGCGUGACGCCGUUGUUCGUUUCCGGUGCCGUUGCAGCUGGGUCGGUACCUGGAGCAGAACCGGGCGGGCCUGGCCGUGCCCACGCUGGUGCUCUUCGCGCUGCAGGUCAGCAAGGCCCUGGCCUACCUGGAGGCCGUCAGCUGCGUCCACAGGGACAUCGCCGUGCGGAACAUCCUGGUGGCCUCCCCGGAGUGCGUCAAGCUCGGCGACUUCGGCCUCUCGCGCUACAUCGAGGAUGAGGAGUACUACAAAGCUUCCAUCUCCCGCCUCCCCAUCAAGUGGAUGGCGCCGGAAUCCAUCAACUUCCGGCGCUUCACCACGGCCAGUGACGUCUGGAUGUUCGGUGAGGGGCAGGAACGGAGCGGGAUUCCGGGAUUCUGAAUCAUGUGGGAUCUUGGGAUUCAGAAUUGGGGGAUUGUGGGAUUCAGAAUUGGGGGAUCCUGGGAUUCAGAGUUGUGGGAUCCUGGGAUUCAGAUUUGUGGGAUCCUGGUGUUCAGAAUUGGGGGAUUCUAGGAUUCAGAGUUGUGGGAUCCCGGGAUUCAGAAUUGGGGGAUUGUGGGAUUCAGAACUGUGGGAUUCUGGGAUUCAGAGUUGUGGGAUCCUGGUGUUCAGAGUUGGGGGAUUCUGGGAUUCAGAAUUGGGGGAUCCUGGGAUUCAGCAUUGUGGGAUUCUGGGUUUCAGAAUUUUGGGAUUCUUGGAUUCAGAGUUGGGGGAUCCUGGGAUUCAGAAUUGGGGGAUUGUGGGAUUCAGAAUUGGGGGAUUCCAGGAUUCAGAAUUGUGGGAUUCUGGGAUUCAACACUGGGGGGUCCUGGGAUUCAGAGUUGGGGGAUCCUGGGAUUCAGCAUUGUGGGAUUCUGGGAUUCAGAAUCAGGGGAUCCCGGGAAUUCUGAGGAAUUCCUGAUCCCAUCCCGGUGGUGUCCCAGCGCCACAGCUGUGUGCAUGUGGGAGAUCCUGAGUGGGAAAUCCCAGGGCUGUUCCCUCUCCCACGGCACGCACAAGCCCAAAUCCCACUCCAGAAUUUCCCAUUUUUUUUUUCCCAAGUCCAAAUUAUCCCAAAUUUU